rnacentral:rRNA from 1 species
GGCGGUAAAUUUAUUUUUUAGAGGAACUUGCUUGAUAAUUGACUUUACUCAUUAUAUUUUGCUUUGUUUAGUUUAUUUAUCUCCGUUAUUAAAAUGUUUAAUUUGAGGUAAUUUUUUUAUUAGAUUUCAGGUCAAGAUGUAGCUUGAUGAAGAUAGGGUGAGUUACAUUUUGGAGUAAGUGGAUUUGAUAAUUUAAUUUAUUUAUGAAAAUGGAUUUAGAAGUAAUUUUUUUUAGGAUUAAAGGGUGAAUUUAAUGAAUUUAUGUACACAUC